GGGGUUCAGUCUGUGUUCGCCCAUCAGAGACACAUCACCAGCCACGACACGGUCCGGUUGCGUCUCUUCGCCGCGAGGGUUGUACCUGCCUCCCUGUAUACAACCAGGUGUGUUCCAUCGCGCUCGGAUCUCGGCGUCUGGACGCUGCUGAUCGACCGCUUGAACUUGACAGUGCGCCACGGGACUUAUCGGACGCGUAGAGCCGGCGCGGCGAUCGGCACCGAGGUGUCGCCGAAGUGUCAACGGGUCAACGAGUUCGCGGGGACUCGAGCGCGACCGGCCCCAGGAUUUUCGGUGGUUCUUGUUUUCUUUUCUCGCGCGUCGAAACAGGUGUUCCAGAGCGUCGCCCCGGUGCGGAUUAAAGGACGGUGUCGCCGACUGGUCCCGCGCGCUGGGUGCUUUAUGCCUGGACUGGGUGCGCGCUCCCGUGUAACGUCGCUCCGGAACGGUUCGCGCGGUGUCCCGAGCCUCGGGAGGACCAGAUAACAUCGAAGCACCGAGUGGCAUCUUCGUCGGUGGCCUCGACUGCGUAGCUCACGAUCGGUGUCACGGUGUUGUCAUGGUCGCCGGGAGACCACGGAUCGGCAGCCCGGGCCAGUGUUAAAGGUGAUCAUCGGCGAUUAGACUCUGUCGGGCGUAGAGCCCAGUGAUCCCGCGUACAUUCUUCGUUGACCCCGUUCACGUCGCCGGUCCUCGACCAACUGUACAGUGAACCGAGUGAAGAACAGCUCCGCGCUGUAACUCCGAUGUUCGACCGCCUUGGAACCCGCUGCUGACACGCAGAGAUACCAGAUCGCGCAGAGCCGAUCCGUGCGACAUUUCGGAGGAUCCCGCGGGGAUCGGCUUCGGGGACUCGGGUGUCCCGGAAUUGCGCCGACCUUGGAGCAAGCGAUUAACCGCGCUCGUUGAUGAACUGCUCGCGGUGAAGAUGCGCGGCCCAGCCUGACAGGCUGCUCCUCGACGGGCAUCACCGCGGUCGCGAUCCGAGAGGAAUCCGGUGGUCCGCGCGGACAGGUAGCCUAGAAAGGCGAGGGUUGCGAGCCGAGGUGUGGACGGCAGAGGCGAACCGAGUGGACAGAGGUGGGAACAAGAAAUCGUGUACUAACGGGUGGUGCGACGUUCGGGUACACAAGUCGGCAGGCCGGCUCUGGGGUGCCGGGCCCGGGCGGGGUGAUGAGCUGUUCCGAGGUGAUGUAUCAAUAUUAUCCUUACCUCUAUCAGAGGCCACCGCCGCCGCCGCACCCGACCCACCCACAUGCGGCCCCGCACACCCAUCCCCACGCAAAUCCGCAUGCGGCCCACCACAGUCCGGCCAGGCCGGCGCCUUUUCAAUCCUUCUCGGCGGCCACGGCGACGCAUCAAUACGACAGGUUGAACGUGCACCAAAGAUCGCUAGAGGCGGCAGGUCUCGAGAUUUGCGGCGCUAGCGGUAGUGUUCCGCAAGGGCAACCAAGUAGCGCCGGUUCCGUCGGUUCAGCACCCAGUCCAGCGUCGCCCAGACCAACCCCGCAACCACCGCCGCUCCUUACCGGCACGACCACUCGGCCUACCCCUACCAGAACGUUAGACGACGACAGGUCGACGGACGCCGUAGGUGCUGGCACUGCCGCGGAGGACUCAGACGACGGCGAAAGCAGAGCGCAGUAUCUGAACGCAAAUUGCGUGAUCUACACGCACUACCGAGGGGAUGCUGCGUCCGAGGUGGAGGACCACUUCCAGAGGGCGCUAGUGCACGACAAACUAAAGGAAAACAUCUCUCCCAUGUCCAUGAGGAACUUCCCGGCUUCCUUUUGGGACAGUCAGCAUCCUGGCCAAGGCUAUGAAUAUCCAACGGAUCCAUGGCAUCCUCAUUACCCACAAUACCACCACAGAGCUGUGCACGAGUAUCACCACCAUAAUAUGGCGGCCGUGACGAGUUACGGUGGCCUGUUGUUGGGUGGUGCACGAGGACUCGGCCACCAUACGUCCCACCAUGCGGCGCACCACGCGCACGCCGCGGCCUCCUACAAGGACUGGACGUCGGCGACGCCGUCGCAGUCACUCGUCGACGCUUCCUCCGCACCCCCUUACCCCCACGGCCCGUAUGCACCCCUUUCCGGUCUCGAGUCCCAAGUCCAGGAUUCGAAAGAUCUGUACUGGUUCUAGAAGCGAGUUUCGGAGUCUCAUGGGCCGGACUAGUUUCGCGAUGAGCACGAGGAUGGAACUGCGAAGCCAGCAGCAUCAUCAGCAGCAGCAACAGCAACAGCAUCAGCAGUCGUUGCUCCUCGCUGCGAAGCUGUGAACGCGACACGAUCGGGGUCAGUUGUUCUGGAACGAGGAGGGUCCGUGGUACACCGAGGAGGAACGCAGCGACAAAAUGGCGAGGGCCGCGGAUUACUGGAGCGUACACCGGGAAAGAGAGAGAGAGAGAGAGAGAGAGAGAGAGAGAGACAAGCAGUACUUAUAUUUACUUACGACGACGCAAAGUGAUAUUAGCGUGCUAGGGUGAUCUGAUUCGUUUUUUUUCUUCCCGGGGGGGAAUUCGUUUUUCUUUUCGUUUCCCGGCGUACGGGAUCGCUACGGGAUCGACGGUGGGACUUUUGUUAUAUGUGGCCGGAGGAACGUGUUGUCGCCGCGUCGCGCGAACCCGUUACCGCCGUGUCGAGCAAGUGUACAUAGUGUUACCUAAUUACUGUAAGGAUCUACUAUUAGCGUACAACUCAGAUAGUAUUAGAGGUAUACUUUGCGCGCACUAUUACCUUCAUAGUGACUGAUGUCCGACCGGCAAUCGAAACGAAAGAGCCUCUAGUUCGUAUAGAGUGUAGGGGAUUAAGCCACUGAAGGCGUGUCUAAAUUUUCCAAAUAAUUAGAGGGACGCUCGGCCGAUCCCCCAUCGGUCGAUCGAUCGAUCGUCGCGUUGUCACUUGGAUCGGAUGAUUUUCAUGCCGCGCGAUAGGGGUACAUCCGUUUAGAGAACAGAGAGAGUCUGUGAAAGGAAAAAAGACAGCAAAAUAGGGAGACGGAGAGAGAAGUAAAGAGAGAAAUAGAGAAAAA